CAGCAGCCGCGGUAAUACAGAGGGUGCGAGCGUUAAUCGGAUUUACUGGGCGUAAAGCGUGCGUAGGCGGCUUCUUAAGUCGGAUGUGAAAUCCCUGAGCUUAACUUAGGAAUUGCAUUCGAUACUGGGAAGCUAGAGUAUGGGAGAGGAUGGUAGAAUUCCAGGUGUAGCGGUGAAAUGCGUAGAGAUCUGGAGGAAUACCGAUGGCGAAGGCAGCCAUCUGGCCUAAUACUGACGCUGAGGUACGAAAGCAUGGGGAGCAAACAGGAUUAGAGACCCCUGUAGUCCCUGUCUCUUAUAA
rnacentral:rRNA from 1 species